UACGUAGGAUGCAAGCGUUGUCCGGAUUUACUGGGCGUAAAGCGUGCGCAGGCGGUUCGUUGUGUCGGCGGUGAAAGCCCCGGGCUUAACCUGGGAAUGGCCGUUGAAACUGGCGAACUGGAGUGUGGCAGAGGGGGGUGGAAUUCCGCGUGUAGCAGUGAAAUGCGUAGAGAUGCGGAGGAACACCGAUGGCGAAGGCAGCCCCCUGGGCUAACACUGACGCUCAGGCACGAAAGCGUGGGGAGCAAACAGG
rnacentral:rRNA from 1 species